rnacentral:ncRNA from 1 species
CAGCGAGUAAGUCCUAUUCGAACCAAUGAUGCCUGCAUUAGUGGGAUGGGAGAACUAGGGUAGGGGUCGCUU